GGGUUGGUGGCGGAAAUGAUGUCAAGAUAAAUGAACCAUGAAACCUAAUUUAUAAAAGAGCUACCCUGAAUUGCAGCAAAUGCACGGAUACUCCCAUCUCAAAUGCACACCUACAACAUGAGCUAUGAAACCCAGUUUAUAAAAGAGCUACCCUGAAUUGCAGCGAAUGUAGGGAUACUCCCAUCUCAAAUGCACCCCUGCAGUGACAUCUGUCAGGAGCCUAUGGAGACAGCUGCCUCACCCAGAAGGCCUCUUGCAUUUUUAUUUUUGCAAAUAUUCAGCAGGGAUGGAGGGGACUGCGUCUGCUCUCUCCACUUUCUUCCUGGAGAGAAGAGGACAUGAUGGAGAACAGAAGGCAAGGACAAUACAUUCCACUCACAUUUCUAAGAAUUCCAUGACCGGAAGCUGCCACAAAAAUAAUGCAAAGGUCUGUCACCAAUCACAGAUGCAAGGCCUCACAGAAAGCCCACUUGAGCUGAGAGGUGAAGUUGUUCCCUGCAGAUGCUCACAUGAAAAUGAGAUAAAUAGUGAACUCUUUGAAGUGCACUGGAAAGAUUUCCUCGACAAGGCAGAAAUGAGACACAUGACACAUAAGCCUUUAAGAGUGACCUCAGAGGAAAACAGAAUUUGCUGGAUGAUACAGAAGCAGAAAAGGGAAAACCAGAGCUCCGAGGCACCGCGUGUCAACCACCAGAUGGAUUAGCUCUGCUGAUCAACCGAUCAUGGAGUGUGGAGCCAGUUGCAGAAAGGGAGGAGAAUAGAGAAAUAAAAGGGAGGGGAGAAGACACAAAAGGCUUAGCUGUAGUCAUAGCAGCAUGGGCUCUAGAUGGACAUGGGCAUGGGUUGGAAUCCCAGCUCUUUCUGGAAAAUUGCUGAAACACCCUAAGCCCCAGUUUCCUCAUCUGUAAAUGAAAAGUAUGGUAAUAGCACUAUGAUAUGGUUUGGCUCUGUGUCCCCACCCAAAUCUCAUCUCAAACUGUAAUCCCCACAUGCUGG
rnacentral:lncRNA from 1 species